CACCAUUCUAGAAUUCUCUGAGUUUUUUGAGCUUAGAGCAGAGUUUCUCAAGAGCUGCAAUACUGGCAUUUGAGUCAAGUCGUUCUUUAUUGUUGGUGGUGGAGGGGGCACCCUGUAUAUUGUAGGACGUUGGGCAGCAUCUCUGACUUCUACCUACUAGAUGCCAGUAUCUCAGUUUUCUUAAAAGACUUUUUUUUUUUUUUUUUUUUUUUUGAGAUGGAGUCUUGCUGUGUUGCCUAGGCUGGAGUGCAGUGGCACCAUGUCGACUCACUGCAACCUCCGCCUCCCCGGUUCAAGCGAUUCUCCUGCCUCAGCCUCCUGAGUAGCUGGGAUUACAGGUGAGCACCACCAUGCCCAGCUAAUCGUAAAAGACUUUUCAUAAAACUUCAGAACUCCUUAAAAACUAGUGAAUAGCCAAGGUGAAGAAAGCCCUCAGGCUUCUGACUUUAGACCCCAAUCCCUGGGACUCCCACACUCAGCAAAGAAAGCUGGGUGCCUGCACCCUGGAUCUCUGAGCAAACCUGUCUUAUGGCUGUGGGCAACUCAGGAACAUGAAUUAGCACGAGAAUCUGGAGUUUUUCUUUCCUUUUCUGAGAGUUUCAUACGCAGACCUUAAGUAGACAUAGUAUCCAGCUAAAAGGGUCUCACUCUGUCACCCAGGCUGGAGUGCAGUGGCGCAGUCAUGGCUCCCUGUAACCUCAACCUCUCAGACUCCAGCAAUCCUCCUGCGACAGAUGUCAAAGAAAGAAAUGCAGAUCCUUCAGUUCAACUCUCAGUUGCAGUAAAGCCACCUACAGGAUCAGGUCAUACUAAACUGAAAUGUUGUUAUUAUCCUUUUCUGUAAGGGAGGCAGUCAAUGGUGAAUGCUGGCCUCGCUGAUUACUCACCUGGAGACCUUUCUGAGGAUCAGUUUUCUCAUCUAGAAAAUGGGACAACUGCCAGACCACUGAAGAAAAUACAGAAAACAGCCCCACACAUCAGCAUGUUUGGUUGCUGCCAGUCUACUUGGAUCUGAGUAUUUUUUCUUGCCAUGAAUGUGACGUGAUUAUCUUCUCCUACAUCACACUGAAGUUUUAUGAAUGAUGCUUUGAAGUGGGAAGGGCCAGAGAGUUAAUAUUUUCGGCUUCUUGGGCCAGCUGGUCUCGGUGGCAGCUACUGAGCUCUGCCACUGCAGCAGAGAACGGGCACAGGCGAUAUGGAAAUGAUAGGCGCGGCUGUGUUCCAAUAAAACUUUAUUUACAAAAAUGGGCAGUAGACCAGAUUUGGUCUGUGUCUUAGAGUUUGCUGACCCUGCUUUAAAGAAACAUCAAAGAGAUUCUACCAGCUGAUUUCCUUGCUCCCAAAAUUCUUGUAAGGACUAUGGCUGAGUUAGGAAGUUAUGUACUUUAAUAGCUAAUUUCAGGCCUGGCGUGGUGGCUCACGCCUGUAAUCCCAGCACUUCGGGAGGCUGAGGUGGGUGGAUCACUUGAGGUCAGGAGUUUCAGACCAGCCUGGCCAACAUGGCGAAACCCUGUCUCUACUAAAAAUACAAAAAAAUUAGCUGGGCGUG
rnacentral:lncRNA from 1 species